rnacentral:rRNA from 1 species
GAGUUUGAUCAUGACUCAGGACGAACGCCGGCGGCGUGCUUAACACAUGCAAGUCGAGCGGAAAGGCUUCCUUCGGGAAGUACUCGAGCGGCGAACGGGUGAGUAACACGUGGAUAAUCAACCUCUUGCUCUGGAAUACCCCGGGGAAACUCGGAUCAAUGCCAGAUAAAGUGCGGUGCUGUUGGGCGCCGUACCAAAGAUAGCUUCGGCCUUCGGCGAGAGACGAGUCCGCGGCCCAUUAGCUAGUUGGCGGGGUAAUGGCCCACCAAGGCUACGAUGGGUAGCUGGUCUGAGAGGAUGAUCAGCCACACUGGGACUGAGACACGGCCCAGACUCCUACGGGAGGCAGCAGUGGGGAAUCUUGCGCAAUGGGCGAAAGCCUGACGCAGCAAUGCCGCGUGCGGGAGGAAGGCC